rnacentral:lncRNA from 1 species
UAUUCUGUCUUCCUGGAUAUCCCAAAGACUACUUCUCAGCUCUUCACCAGGACCAUGUACCUAGAAAUGACCAAUGGCUUGUGAGCGGAAAUGAUGUGUGUAAUUCUGGGAUAAGACUGUGAAACAUCCUUGUUCUAUCUUUCAGUUUUCCUCUUCUCCUGUGUUAGAAAGCGUGAAGAAUAUAUGUUGGAAUGAGGGAGCCCACACAAGAUAGAGCUACCUGGAUUGUCACAUCACCUUGUGGUCAUCUGUACUAACAGCAGGUCCUGCAUGUUUGGCACGGCAUCUCAACUUGAUGUCUAUUUCUUCUUGUUCUCCUUCACCUCACAUGAACCUUCCAAGUCAUAAUUCUUUGGAAAUAGACACAAGGAGCUUUAUUUCAAAUUACCAUCCUUUACUUAAGAGGUUCCAUCUCUAAGCAUAUCAGCAAUCAUGGUGACGUGCCACUCUGCUGGUAAUUCAUAUGGCUUAUUCAGAAGCACAGAUCAUGGCUGUUAGACCUGCCAGAUGUUCCCGGUCCCUAGCUGCAAUUAAGUUCCAACAUAGCCCAAUUUGAAAGAGAUUGAGAAACCACAGUUCUCAUUAAGAAUAUUCAUGAGUUUGCACCUUGAAAAGCCAGCAAUCACAUGAUAUGCCAGAACGGACAAGAUCGUUUGAGAAGAGGAAAAAAAAAAAGAUGCAAUUUAAAAUAAGUUACCAGAGAAGAUCAUUUUACCUCGGUCUGGCCAGUUGAAACACUGUGUUUGCCAUUACACAGUGGGUGUUUUUGGGAUGUGACUGAAGUCAGCCUGAGUCCAAUGAAAAUUCUGAACUUCUUCUGGAAUUAUGGUGAAGGACAAACUCUUUUUGGGUUGUAAACCUGGCAAUGUGAGUAAGAAUCUUACUGUAGUGGGAGAAUGUGCCUGAGGAUGCAGCCAACACAAUAAAAAGCAGAGUCCGGUAGAUGAAGAGUAAUAGUGUUCUGAUGAUGUCACUUAAAGCACCAAGAUCCAGCCAUGCCUGAAGUUGAUAUACCCUUUUCAGUUAUUAAAAAAGUCAACAAAACCCCUUUUUAAAAGUAAGCUAGUUUAAACUGG